AUCUUGCUUCCUUGGCAGAUUAACGAGGAGCAUUUAACAUCCUUUCUCACUGAUUUCCUUUAAUUUAUUCCUCCCAUAUUUAUUCUUAUUCUGUUUUAAGACUGGCCAGAAAUGAUAUUGAAUUAAUGCAGUAGAUAUGGAAGAAAUUAGAUAACUGCCUUGCUUCUUUUGAUGUUGUGUUAAAUUGCCUACUAUCUGGCAGUGACCAGAUGGUGUUGUUUUUGAAGUGUUUGUCAACUGGCAACAUCUAUUUGUCUCAUACAAUUGAGUCUUCUUUUUUUUGGUAGCAAUCGUAAUCUCACCAGCAGAAACAGACACAGGUAUCCACAGUCUCCAAAGAGCUUUUAGACCAGGACACUCAUCUCUGUUAGAAGACCCAAGUGCUACCACUUUGAGAGGAAGCAGGAUGGGAAAGCAUGAGAAAAAGUUUUCAAAUCAAACUGGAAAUGAGUGCCACAGGGAAGUCCCUGAGAAGUGUACAUUUGGUGCCAUCCAAGAGCCCCAGCAGGAUCGGUACUGGACUGACCCAGCUGGAGGCAGGAACAGCUACAGACACAGAACCAGCAGGGCAUUCGUGCAAUGAGGAACAGUAUUCCUAGGUGCCCUCUCACUCACAUGGACAGUAGUAAGAGGAAAAAUGUGAAAAGUACCUGUAUGUAAAAAAAAAAGGAAACUAUAGAAAGUACCUCUGCCUUCUAAGUUAACACAGAUAUUACUAAGACCUCUCAGAAGUAUUUAAUCAAGCAAAAAGUGUGUGGCAGCAUAGCUAUAAAUUCUGAAAUAAUAGAAUGAGAUGUUAAUAACCUCUUCUAGUUCCGCAUUGCACUUCAUCCAGUAACAUCAACAAAAUAACAUUACUCAAGUGGCUGUUCUGGUAGGCUGUAUUAAGAUGUUUCUCAUUUUGUGUUUUGUUCCCUCGAAAAGAAUAAAUAGCACUACUCUUAUUUUUAGCUUUUCA
rnacentral:lncRNA from 1 species